GACGAACGCUGGCGGCGUGCUUAACACAUGCAAGUCGAACGGAAAGGCCCUGCUUUUGUGGGUUGCUCGAGUGGCGAACGGGUGAGUAACACGUGAGUAACCUGCCCGUUACUUUGGGAUAACUUCAGGUAACUGGGGCUAAUACCGGAUAGGAGCUCCUGCGGCAUGGUGGGGGUUGGAAAGUUUCGGCGGUUGGGGAUGGACUCGCGGCUUAUCAGCUUGUUGGUGGGGUAGUGGCUUACCAAGGCUUUGACGGGUAGCCGGCAUGAGAGGGUGACCGGCCACAUUGGGACUGAGAUACGGACCAGACUCCUACGGGAGGCAGCAGUGGGGAAUAUUGCACAAUGGGCGGAAGCCUGAUGCAGCAACGCCGCGUGCGGGAUGACGGCCUUCGGGUUGUAAACCGCUUUCGCCUGUGACGAAGCGUGAGUGACGGUAAUGGGUAAAGAAGCACCGGCUAACUACGUG
rnacentral:rRNA from 1 species